UAAAAACUCUACAGCAAUUUUUAUAUAGCACCGGCCAUAAGGAAAAGAAAGACAAAAAGAAAAGGUAAAUUCACAACCAAGAUGGAAGUGUAACUACACAUCACAAGGUAACUGAGAGCUGUAUACCACAGUUGCUCCAAGUGCCUAGCACAAUUAUGCAGAAAAGAGCUGGCUUCUCCAAGUGUUUUAUAUCUCGGAUUCCUUUCUCACCAUAUUUAACUGGGGCACCCAUUAAGGAUUCCUAUAUUUACUCACAAUGAUUGUGGCGCAGAGUCUUAAACCAAAAGCAAGAUAUAAAUUAUGUUGCUUAGGCUGUGUAACUCCUAAUUCCCUAGAUGAUACAACCAUGAACAACUAUUCUGUACAUUUCAAGCCGCAUAAAUAGACCUGGGACUGAAUAACUAUUCUCCCAAUCUUAAAUCCUGGAACUACUGUGAACCCCACCUUCAUCCGGGUCUUAGCUGGCAAGUUGCAUCUUCUAGUUAUAUCUUCCAUAUAUACCAUUGAAAAAUCAACCCCUCUUUCCACCUGGAAAAUCUCAAAAGCAGGAUCAAAUGAGAUCGCCAGUUUAUGAAGCAUCCAUACUGCACUAGCCAUGUUAACAAAUGACUCAUAGAAUAUACGAAGUGACCUCCAUGAAAUCAAAACUUCUUCAUUUUUAUCCAAAUUGCUGAAAAUUGAUGAUUCCAUUGUUGGAUGAACAAGUUCUUGAUACUUCUUUUCACAAAAUUUUGAAAAUUCACAGUUGGGAUUCCUAUGUAGCAACUCCACAGGACUGCUAGACACAUGCUCAAGCAACU
rnacentral:misc_RNA from 1 species